rnacentral:rRNA from 1 species
GAGUUUAAUCUUGGCUCAGAUUGAACGCUGGCGGCAUGCCUUACACAUGCAAGUCGAACGGCAGCACGGGAGCUUGCCCCUGGUGGCGAGUGGCGAACGGGUGAGUAAUGCAUCGGAACGUAUCCUGGAGUGGGGGAUAACGUAGCGAAAGUUACGCUAAUACCGCAUAUUCUGUGAGCAGGAAAGCGGGGGACCUUCGGGCCUCGCGCUUUUGGAGCGGCCGAUGUCGGAUUAGCUAGUUGGUGAGGUAAAGGCUCACCAAGGCGACGAUCCGUAGCAGGUCUGAGAGGAUGAUCUGCCACACUGGAACUGAGACACGGUCCAGACUCCUACGGGAGGCAGCAGUGGGGAAUUUUGGACAAUGGGGGCAACCCUGAUCCAGCCAUGCCGCGUGAGUGAAGAAGGCCUCGG